UGCCUGAGCCAGGCCCGAGGUGCCCAGACACGGGAGAAUCGGGAAGCCGGUGAGAGUCCGGCACAGGGCCCGCUGCGGUGACCCGGACACGCGAUCCGGGAAGUCCGAAGACCGGCCUCGGCGCCUGGGGACGA
rnacentral:ncRNA from 2 species